AAUAAAGAAAUAGUUCACAAAAAUAAGAUAUAGAGGAGUUAAGGGUUAGAAGCUGCGAGAGAAUGGUGAGUGACAGACGACUGGGAGACAAGUGUGUGUUUCAACCUUUCAUUGUACAGAGGAGGCAAUUACGGACAGUUUCUGCCAUGGGUAACAAGGUAUUCAUCAUUGCACUAGUGGUUGCUCUAGUGGCCAUCUCUUUAAAUAACUACCUCAAGAGAAAGGGGGAGACACGCUACAUAUUCCACACAGAAUGGUACGAUCCAGUGUCAGCAACCGUCAACAAAUUUCACCUCAGCUUCUUCCCAAGAGAUAGAUCAGUGGAGAUGUAUGACCUGCGGGCCCAGAGGCUGUUCCUGAAGCGCAUCCCAGUGGAGGGCGUGGAGGAGCGCGACCUGUACCUCGGGAACACCAUAGUUGUCCUCUCCAGGCAGCUCAAGAUCACAGACUAUGCUGACGCCUUCACUCGGGAGCAAAUCACCUCCAAGAGACAAAGAACAUUUGCAAUGGUGAAGCCAGACGCUGUACACAGACUAGGGGAAAUAGUUGACGUGAUCCAGAGCCGAGACUUUGAGAUCAGCCAGAUGAAGAUGGUGCAGCUGACGAGGCUCCAGGCGGCAACCUUCUACCGGGAGCACGAGGGCCGCCCUUUCUUUGAGUCCCUGCUUGACUACAUCACGAGUGGACCAGUGGUGGCCAUGGAGCUGAUAACAACCAAUGCUGUCAAGAAAUGGCGAGCGACGCUGGGCCCCACAGACUCCCAGGAGGCAAGGAGCAUUGCCCCAGAGUCCAUCCGAGCAUUGUUUGGGAAGGACAAGCAGUUAAAUGCAGGACACGGCUCGGACUCGGACAUAUCAGCCAUAAGGGAAAUUGAGUUCUUCUUCCCAUCAUCAAAGAUAAAUGAUGAUCUCUUACCACAAACCACAGCCAAGUUAGCAAACAACACUUGCGGCAUUAUCAAGCCACACGCUGUUUCCAAAGAGUCAUUGUUUCUGCCAGCUCUCCUCCAACCAGCUAAGUCAUUCAUAUCUUUCUCUGACAUUUGUUUUUCUCUCAUAUCUUUCUUUAUCCAGUCCAUUCACCUCUGCUUGGGUUUUCCUCCUUCCCCUCCUGUGUUGGGCUUUUGCGUAUGUUAGUUCUCUUCUCGGCAUGUAUCUAUACCUUUUCAUUCUUUAUUCCUGUGCCUUCUUUUCUAUUCCUUUCUCUCUAGUUGCUUGGUAGCUAUAUAAUUAUUAUAGUCCAUCCAUCUUUGCUUAAGCCUUCUUCCUUCCUCUUCUGUCCUGGACCUUCAUCUGUAGGUUAAAUUUCAUAAGGCUAGGUUAGGUUCCUACAUGUCUUACUUCUCAUCUCAGCAUAUCCAUACCACCUCAGUCUUCUUCCCUGUACCUUCUCUGCCAUUCAUUUCUCUCUAGUUGCCUGCUGGCUUUGAUAUACCUUCACUUAUCUUCCCUAUGUAACUUGGAUGUAACUUUUAGGAUAAUGAUAUAGUUGUGAAUUUAGAAAUAGAUGCUCAACUCAUAAUUUGUGUAUAAUCUGCCAUCAGGUCAUUAAUGAUGCAGUAAAGAAUCUAUAAAUGUAUAUUUAAGUCAUAAUUCAUGUAUAUUUUGCCAUCAGGUCACAUAGGCAGCAUUCUGAAGGCAAUAAAGGAGGAGGAGUUUGACAUCUCCGCCCUGCAAAUAUUCCGUAUGGACAAGGUUCAGUCAGAGGAGUUCCUGGAAGUGUACAAAGGUGUUGUCAGCGAAUAUCCAGGGAUGGUGCAGCAGCUGAUGUCUGGCCCCUUGGUGGCUCUGGAGAUCACUUCAGGCGUCCAUGGACCUCAGACGCCCAUUAAAUUCAGGGAGUUUGUGGGACCCGCUGACCCAGAAGUGGCAAGGGAGCUACGACCCAACAGCCUCAGGGCACGCUUUGGGGAGGACAUUGUGAAGAAUGCCUUCCACUGCUCAGACCUGCCAGACGAUGGCCCUCUGGAGGUUGAGUACUUCUUCAAAAUCCUGCAGUAGCCAAAGUCUGUCGCCUGGCUUUGUGUGAGUCGUGUCUUGUCUCCAUAAAUUGCUUCAUUUCAAUAUCAAAAGAGCAUCAAUGAAAACGUGACAACUUCAGUACAAAUUCUCCUGUGUAGUACGUAUGCCAUAACUCUUCAUACGUACAAGUUUUUUACUGUUUAUCUGAUAUGCAACCUUGUGAUAGAGUAAACGGUAAAGAGUAAGGAUUUUAUUCAUUCACUAGCACAGUAUUGUAAGACUUGGUAGCUAGAGAUUUUUGUGUUUCAUUAGAUUCACUUAAGAGUCACAAAAGAACUGUCAAUCAAACUUUAAUACAACGCAUCAAUUUGCACCUGUACAUUUCUCUCCCAUAAUCUGGUGCACUGCUCAAUGAAUACUCUUUUUUAUUGUUAAUGUUUAGGAUGAGGGAAAGGAAGAUGUUAAUGGUUGAUAAUGGUUGAUGGUAGUUAAUGGUUCUCCAUGGUGAUUUCAAGAGGCAAUACUAGGGUUACAAAUCCAGUUUUAUGUCCCCCACUGGAUGUUGCACCAUGGAGGGAGGGCCUUUUCUUGACUGUAUUGUUAUUGAUUUGCAUGUUCUGUACUUUGUGUGUUCUCAAAUCAUCAGUGUGAAUUUCCAGUUAUGUGUCUUACAGGGUGUUUCAGAAAUAUAGAUGUGCUAGUCAUGUUCUAGGAAUAACUUAUUGUCAUGCAUACAUUCCUCAUGUUACUUUUUAUCUUUUUAAUCUUUGCCUGUGAUAUAUUUCAUUACCAUUGUGUGUUGUAACUGACAGUACAGGUAUUCUCUGUUGUUUUUUGGUCUCAUGGUAUUUUAUAGAAUGCAGUCAUGAAGGAUUCGCUCCAUGCUCCCAAUAAUCGAAGUACAGGCCUUCCAAGUUUUGCUGUUAUUGCACACUUUGAGCACUGUUUUCAUUGUAUUGUUACUGUGUGUGUGUCUGUUUGGCCCGCUGAGGCUCCAGGCAUGCUGCCACUAUCAUGGUUGUGUGCAAUGCUGGGUGCUGCCACACAGUGUAUGUUCUCAACCAAUAAAUAUCACACAAAUUA